rnacentral:lncRNA from 1 species
GGCAUUAGGCAUAUAUUAUAUGGUUUUGUUAUAAAUUUAUUAAGGUUAAAAAUGUAAACUUAUUAAAAUGUUAAUGUAUCAUAAAACAUAAAAUAAUUAAAGCCAUGUUCUUCAUUCUUCUUAUGACCGAAAUAAAGAGAAAAGAAAAAGAAAUAAAGAAACUUAGGGUUCAGCACUUUUGAAGCUUAAUUCAAGGUGAGUUCUAGCUCAGUUUUUGAUAAUUUUUACAUUUUUGAGAUCGUUGCUAAGUUAUCUACAAGACCCAUGAUUGAAUUCUUGAUUUUGAUGAAUAUUUUGAGUUAUGCCAUUGUUGACAGCUUGUGAUUGUUGUUGUUUGAUGAUGAA